AACGAACGCUGGCGGCAGGCUUAACACAUGCAAGUCGAGCGCCCCGCAAGGGGAGCGGCAGACGGGUGAGUAACGCGUGGGAAUCUACCCAUCUCUACGGAACAACACAGGGAAACUUGUGCUAAUACCGUAUACGCCCUACGGGGGAAAGAUUUAUCGGAAUUAGAUGAGCCCGCGUAAGAUUAGCUAGUUGGUGGGGUAAUGGCCUACCAAGGCGACGAUCUUUAGCUGGUCUGAGAGGAUGAUCAGCCACACUGGGACUGAGACACGGCCCAGACUCCUACGGGAGGCAGCAGUGGGGAAUAUUGGACAAUGGGCGAAAGCCUGAUCCAGCCAUGCCGCGUGAGUGAUGAAGGCCUUAGGGUUGUAAAGCUCUUUCAGUAGGGAAGAUAAUGACGGUACCUACAGAAGAAGCCCCGGCUAACUUCGUGCCAGCCGCCGCCGUAAGAC
rnacentral:rRNA from 1 species